GACGUAGGGCGCGAGCGUUGUCCGGAUUUAUUGGGCGUAAAGAGCUCGUAGGCGGCUUGUCGCGUCGACUGUGAAAUCCCGCGGCUCAACUGCGGGUCUGCAGUCGAUACGGGCAGGCGUAGAGUUCGGUAGGGGAGACUGGAAUUCCUGGUGUAGCGGUGAAAUGCGCAGAUAUCAGGAAGAACACCCGUGGCGAAGGCGGCUCUCUGGGACGGUACUGACGCUGAGACGCGAAAAGCGUGGGGAGCGAACAGG
rnacentral:rRNA from 1 species